AUUGAACGCUGGCGGCAUGCCUUACACAUGCAAGUCGAACGGCAGCACGGGUGCUUGCACCUGGUGGCGAGUGGCGAACGGGUGAGUAAUACAUCGGAACAUGUCCUGUAGUGGGGGAUAGCCCGGCGAAAGCCGGAUUAAUACCGCAUACGAUCUACGGAUGAAAGCGGGGGACCUUCGGGCCUCGCGCUAUCGGGUUGGCCGAUGGCUGAUUAGCUAGUUGGUGGGGUAAAGGCCUACCAAGGCGACGAUCAGUAGCUGGUCUGAGAGGACGACCAGCCACACUGGGACUGAGACACGGCCCAGACUCCUACGGGAGGCAGCAGUGGGGAAUUUUGGACAAUGGGCGAAAGCCUGAUCCAGCAAUGCCGCGUGUGUGAAGAAGGCCUUCGGGUUGUAAAGCACUUUUGUCCGGAAAGAAAUCCUUGGCCCUAAUACGGUCGGGGGAUGGCGGUACCGGAAGAAUAAGCACCGGCUAACUACGUG
rnacentral:rRNA from 1 species